AAUCUUAAAACAAGACAAAACAGGGAAACGACAACGACCGUUGGGGGCGGGGGGACUCUCCUGGCGCGCAGCCCCGAGCCCACCAUCACAGUGAACAUAGGUGGAGUGGAAGCCCGAGUCUGGAAGGCCUUCUGUGCCCAAAGGAAGAGAUCACAUUGAAGGGUCCCAGAGGCUCAAUCUGGGAGCAGAGUACUGGCAACUGGAGAAGACAGGGGGAAAGGACUGAUAUUGACAAAAGAGCCCUGAUGCGGGGCCGCUUCCCAUGGACCCCCUUUUUGGAUCUUUCAGCACCCAAGAGAGGCUUGACCCAGCAAACCACUCCCACCUCUUCUCCCCUGUUACAGAAGGUCCCCAGACGCUCCUGCCUUGGACUUUCUGAGGUGCUGUUAUUCAGGAUAACUAUCAAAUUCUACCUGUUAAAACAUGAUGGAUUAGAGAAAAAAAACAACCCACCAGGAACCUGAAAAACCAGCGUUCAUCUCCAUGACCACGGCUUGAACUCUCCCUCCAACUUAACGAUAAUAGGUUCUGUCUUAGAAACUGCUAUGUAAUUUGAUGUAUGGGGGUCAUUUGGCUCCGGACGAGGGAUGGAAGCACAAGCCAUAAAACCCUGCCAGAGUU